GCCAGCCGCCGCGGUAAUACGAAGGGACCUAGCGUAGUUCGGAAUUACUGGGCUUAAAGAGCUCGUAGGUGGUUAAAAAAGUUGAUGGUGAAAUCCCAAGGCUCAACCUUGGAACUGCCAUCAAAACUUUUUAGCUAGAGUGUGAUAGAGGUAAGUGGAAUUUCUAGUGUAGAGGUGAAAUUCGUAGAUAUUAGAAAGAACACCAAAUGCGAAGGCAACUUACUGGGUCACUACUGACACUGAGGAGCGAAAGCAUGGGUAGCGAAGAGGAUUAGAUACCCUCGUAGUCCAUGCCGUAAACGAUGUGUGCUAGACGUUGGAAAUAUAUUUUUCAGUGUCGCAGCGAAAGCAUUAAGCACACCGCCUGGGGAGUACGACCGCAAGGUUAAAACUCAAAUGAAUUGACGGGGACCCGCACAAGCGGUGGAGUAUGUGGCUUAAUUCGAUGCAACGCGAAGAACCUUACCUAGGCUUGACAUGCUUGUCGUACUCUCCCGAAAAGGAGAGGUCACUUCGGGUGGACAAUGCACAGGUGCUGCAUGGCCGUCGUCAGCUCGUGUCGUGAGAUGUUUGGUUAAGUCCAGCAACGAGCGCAACCCCUGUGAACUGUUGCCAGCGCGUAAAGGCGGGGACUCUGUUCAGACUGCCCAGAUCAACUGGGAGGAAGGGUGGGGGACGACGUCAGGUCAGUAUGGCCCUUACGCCUAGGGCUGCACACGUACUACAAUGCCCAGCACAAUGAGAACCGA
rnacentral:rRNA from 1 species